GGAGAGGUGGCAGAGCGGCUGAAUGCGGCGGUCUCGAAAACCGUUUAACCACUUUGUGGUUACGAGGGUUCAAAUCCCUCCCUCUCCGCCA
rnacentral:tRNA from 1 species